UGCAAGUCGAACGAAGCACUUUAAUCGAUUUCUUCGGAUUGAAAUUUUAGUGACUGAGUGGCGGACGGGUGAGUAACGCGUGGGUAACCUGCCCUGUACAGGGGGAUAACAGCUGGAAACGGCUGCUAAUACCGCAUAAGCGCACGAGGAGACAUCUCCUUGUGUGAAAAACUCCGGUGGUACAGGAUGGGCCCGCGUCUGAUUAGCUGGUUGGCAGGGUAACGGCCUACCAAGGCAACGAUCAGUAGCCGACCUGAGAGGGUGACCGGCCACAUUGGGACUGAGACACGGCCCAAACUCCUACGGGAGGCAGCAGUGGGGAAUAUUGCACAAUGGGGGAAACCCUGAUGCAGCGACGCCGCGUGAGCGAUGAAGUAUUUCGGUAUGUAAAGCUCUAUCAGCAGGGAAGAAAAUGACGGUACCUGACUAAGAAGCACCGGCUAAAUACGUGCCAGCAGCCGCGGUAAUACGUAUGGUGCAAGCGUUAUCCGGAUUUACUGGGUGUAAAGGGAGCGUAGACGGAGUGGCAAGUCUGAUGUGAAAACCCGGGGCUCAACCCCGGGACUGCAUUGGAAACUGUCAAUCUAGAG
rnacentral:rRNA from 1 species